rnacentral:lncRNA from 1 species
CUACUUGUCACAUGCCCAUAGGAAGGGGGAGGUGUGGCUAUGCCACAGAUAUCCUAGAUGACCUUCCUAGGGCAGAGUCUGCAAUCAGCCAGGCCACUGUGCUCCCUUUGCUAAAACAGAGUGAAAGGUGACCAGGAGAGCCUGGGCAGACUCCAGAGCUGUACAUGCCAGAGCUGACCUGCCAGAUGUAACUUCCAGAACACAAGGAAGGAUUUCUGCUGCCUUCAUGGAGACAUGAGCUGUGGGCUCUGUGGAUGCUUUGCUGUGACGGAGGGCCGAGGGCUGACCAAGUCGUGGGGAGGAUUUGUAUGUGGGAAGAGAGGAGAUGGCUGUGCAGCGUGCUCCCGAAUCUGCUCUGAGCUUGCUGAUGCUGGAGACCAACAUGAUCCCACAACCCAACAGAGGUUUGCUGUGACUGACUUUAUGGAUACAGAGAAGACACAUUUGCUAAAGGUCACCUGUAUUUCAUGACAGAAUUUACAGCCUCAGCCAGGGAGACAGAUGUGCCUGUUUGUUGGGAGCUCCUCUGAUGGCAGGAGCUGCCUGCAUCCCCAUCCAGGCUCUCACCAAGCAACGAGGCUGUGACCAACAGGAUGAGACCCUUCAGCACAGCCUGGCCGUGCUGUUGGCAAGGAGACUGUAGCUGUGUGCUACAGAGAACGGGUUUUGUUCCUUUCCUUGGGGAUGAAGGCUUCCUAUUUGGUGACCAGAACCCAUAUCAGCAGCUGCCACCAUCUUCAGGCUGCAGUGUCAGUUGUGCAAAUGGAUUUAGUCAAAAUACUGUGGCAAAUAAAGGACAUCUGC